UACGUAGGGUGCGUGCGUUAAUCGGAAUUACUGGGCGUAAAGCGUGCGCAGGCGGUUUUGUAAGACCGAUGUGAAAUCCCCGGGCUUAACCUGGGAACUGCAUUGGUGACUGCAAGGCUUGAGUACGGCAGAGGGGGAUGGAACUCCGCGUGUAGCAGUGAAAUGCGUAGAUAUGCGGAAGAACACCGAUGGCGAAGGCAGUCCCCUGGGCCUGUACUGACGCUCAUGCACGAAAGCGUGGGGAGCAAACAGG
rnacentral:rRNA from 1 species